CGCGUAGGUGGCGCGGGCAGUCAACGGUGAAAGUUCGGGGCUCAACCCUGAAUCGGCCGUCGAUACUCCCGGGCUUGAGCACUGUAGAGGCAGAUGGAAUUCCGGGUGUAGCGGUGGAAUGCGUAGAGAUCCGGAAGAACACCGGUGGCGAAGGCGGUCUGCUGGGCAGUAGCUGACACUGAGGCGCGACAGCGUGGGGAGCAAACAGGAUUAGAUACCCUGGUAGUCCACGCCGUAAACGAUGGGUACUAGGUGCUUGGGGGAGCGACCCCCUGAGUGCCGGCGCUAACGCAUUAAGUACCCCGCCUGGGGAGUACGGCCGCAAGGCUGAA
rnacentral:rRNA from 1 species